GUCCCAGUAGCUCAGUGGUAGAGCAUUUGAUGAGUGUGGCUGGUCAGACACCUCGAAAAUAUCAGCAAAAUGCCAGGUUUGGAUCCCUGCUGGGACU